AUGUGUGUCAUAUGAGUGAUGUCAAAAUUGGCUGCACCAGCAUGCAGACCUAUGCUGAUGCAUGUGCACAAGAAGGAGUCUGUAUUGAGUGGAGAAAUUAUACAAAUGGACAAUGUGACUUCACAUGCGAGAAACCCAAGGUUUAUAAUGCCUGCGGUCCACAAGUUGAACCAACCUGUAAUGCCUGGUACAAUUUCAAAUUCAUCCAGACUCAAAAUGAGUUCAGUGUCAUGGGAGAUAUACAAUUGGAGGGAUGUUAUUGCCCCAAUGGUACCAU